GAAGCAGACCCAGGAGGAACUGUCUGUUGAAGAACCCCCCCCCCACCAAGCUGCCCACCAGAGGCCAAGCUGUACUUGGUGUUUGCCAACAUGCUGUAAUUUCCAGCCUGGUUGCUGUAGCCACAGAGGAAUUUUCAAGGACAAGAACCAGUGCUGGUAAAACUGUGGUCUCUGUGGUUUUCCAUACCGGCUCUCGGCAAGGAUUUUCAAGAAAGGAAUACCAUCUCCAAAUCAUGAUGUGCCAAUAAGCUCCAGUUAGCUGCGGCCCUUUCCCCAGGCGGUAGUCCUGCAAUCUGAAUCCAGGAGAUGCAGCUCUGAAUCCAAUAUUUCAGAAGAAUGAAGAUGUUAGUCAAAUCUGUAGUACUUGUUUGUGUGUAAAUGAUUCCAUUGAGUGAGAUUUAUAGCAAAUCAGGUGUAAAUAAGCAUCUUAUAGACAAUAGUGAAGUGCUGUACUCUGAAUUUAAUGCCAAAUCUAGCCUUCAAAACAGAUUCUUAAAGUAAAAAAAAUUUAAAAAUGGGCAUAAUAAUGCUAUCUCUGCAUUUUCUACAUCAUGUAGCCACCUCAUACAUGAAAACACUAGCAGUUGUCAUGAAUCUUUAAGUUUUGGUGUGUUUUUUGCCAUUUCCUUUGUUGCGCCAUUUGUCCCGGAAGCUAACAAUUUGGCAUAUAGUGUUGUUUAGACUGUCUAUUAACACAUGAUCACUAAAUUUCUUGUGUUAAACUGGACAGUUCUGUUACCUUUGUAUAUAAGUGGACCAGAAAAGCAAAAUUUUGACAAGUUGAGGCAUUUCAGUUUGGCUCUAUGUCAUUUUUUAUAUAAAACACUAAGCCGAUGAAGUGGAAAAACCUUAUUUUGCUUGGAAAAAAAUCUUAAAAGAGUAGGCAGGCCAGUUCUGUGGUGCUGUUCUAUAGACACCAUUCAAAGCUACAAGGAAAACUUUACUUGGUCAAAUUAUUCCAAUGCAUAAGGAAAUAAUGGCUCUUCAAAGGUUUGCGGCUUAACAUUUGAGGGAAAUGGCUGUUUCUGCUUUUUAUGAAAAUACCACAGGUGCUAAUACUUGUCUCAUUCAUUUAGUGUUUGAUAUAUCAUUGCCAAACUUUCAGUAUGUGUUGCAUAUAGCCUGAAGCUGAACUAUAGGAGUUUUGAAGUCUGUUUCUGAAAAAAUGUUGCUUAAAUAGGCUCAAGACCACAGUUAUCUGCCCCCCGUUGACCAAGAUCCGGAUGUGAAUACAGAAACAAAGAGUGCUUGUGUUCAAGUAUCAAUAUUUUAUUAAAAUUGAAUGAAAAAGAAGCAAAAAAUGUUCUUUUUGCAGAGAACUUGACUGAAUUUGACACUCUAUUGCAGAAAUUGAUAGUUUUCAAUGUAAAUAUUGGAAAAAUCAUAGCUUGUGGAAGUCUGAAAAUUAGUUGUUUGUAGCCGAUUGACUCCCUGGCGGAAGGGUUAUGUAUUUGAACUCAAUUUUGACAGUCGGGUCAAUGGUCAACAUGGUGUUCUCUUGUGAUUAUAUUUUGUGUCUUGAAUUGUUCUAGAGAUGCCAUGUCCUUGUUUUUCAAUUGGGGUGUGUAUAAAGUCAAAAGCCAGGUUAGUGUCUAUAUGAAACAUAUAGUAAAAAUAACUGUGGUCUCACGCCAAAUCGGGUCAAAAUUUAUUGUCAGUCCAGAGUUACAGAUAAGGUGCGUAUUUCGUAAAUACGCAAUUAAAAUCAAAGAAAACUCAAUUGUUUUAAAAAUCGAUGAGUAAGAAAACGCAUAAGGAAAGGCAGAAUACGCAAUUAAUUUGAAGGACGCGGAAUUAAUUAAUAAUGAAAGUUGGAAACUCAUUUCGUCUAAUUUGCCGAAGUUGAUUCGAUUAAUGUAUUAACUCAGUUAAAAAUAGAUAAUGGUUUCCGUAAUUGGCCGAUCAUUUUCCGGAAGCAAGGCGGAAACAAUCUAAGACCUGGGGAUUUGCCUAAAAACGCUUUCCUUUGAAAAACGAGAAAAUACGAUGGUAUACGAUUAUAGACGGAUGCAGGCGGGAAGCUUGUUAUUUUCAACUGUUCCUGCGAAGAUGUCAACAAGGAAAAGAGGUCGAAAAAAGAUACCACCAACCCAGUCAAACUUGCUAACACUAGUAUUGCUAUUAUGAUAUUUUAAUGCCAUAGCUACUCUAAUGAAUGUGUGAUGUGAGUUAUUGUCAUAAUGAUAUACUUUGUAUAU